UCGAUUUGGAGUUUGUUGCCUAGAGUGAUGGGCUCCGAAGCUAACGCGAUAAAUCGACCGCCUGGGGAGUACGGCCGCAAGGUUAAAACUCAAAUGAAUUGACGGGGGCCCGCACAAGCGGUGGAGCAUGUGGUUUAAUUCGAUGCAACGCGAAGAACCUUACCUGGUCUUGACAUCCACAGAAUCUUGCAGAGAUGCGAGAGUGCCUUCGGGAACUGUGAGACAGGUGCUGCAUGGCUGUCGUCAGCUCGUGUUGUGAAAUGUUGGGUUAAGUCCCGCAACGAGCGCAACCCUUAUCCUUUGUUGCCAGCGAUUUGGUCGGGAACUCAAAGGAGACUGCCGUUGAUAAAGCGGAGGAAGGUGGGGACGACGUCAAGUCAUCAUGGCCCUUACGACCAGGGCUACACACGUGCUACAAUGGCGUAUACAAAGGGAGGCGACCUCGCGAGAGCAAGCGGACCUCAUAAAGUACGUCUAAGUCCGGAUUGGAGUCUGCAACUCGACUCCAUGAAGUCGGAAUCGCUAGUAAUCGUGAAUCAGAAUGUCACGGUGAAUACGUUCCCGGGCCU
rnacentral:rRNA from 1 species